AUGCACAGCAGCACAAGUGUGCACACAACCGGAUGGUUUAAAUGGGGAUUAAUGAAGAUGAAAGUAGCAGUCCUGCCCUCUUCAGUUGCUGGUGUCAGAAGAUGGUGAGGAUGCUUACCAUGGGUAGGGCCACUGAUCGGAUCUCUGCAGGCUCUUCUAAUUGUUGGAGGAUGGGCAGGCAGGUGAGCUGCUGAGGUGAGUGUUUAACAAGGAUUUCCUGAAAUCAUGGACCAGCUUGACGGUGACAUGUGAUUGCAUCUUGCAGAUGGUUUGUUCUUCCGCCACAUGAGAGUCACAGGAAUUUGAGAAAAAGAGGACAUCAGUGCUUAGAGAAUGCAGGCCUGCACAAAGGUCAUCAAGGAGACGGACCACCACUCUAGUGAAGACGACAAUCUGGGUGGUGAAGCUUGUCCUUAAAUACUGACAGAAGACCGGGACUUCAGGAGCUCAAAUGAAUCCAGCCCAUCCUUGAUUCAGAGAAGUGUUAGGGCACAGGAGAGGACCAGUGCAGGAGCAUGAUAAUGGAAAUUUCUAAUAUUAAGGAAUUCUAAUUUAGAAACUAACUGCAAAAACACAAAUUAUAAAGUAAAGUCAGAGAAGUAACAUGCACAUACAUUACUAUGACUAGUUGCAAACUCAAGAGGAAGUAACUUGUAAAUCAUUGUGUCCUGCUUUGAGUUACAUUUACAACACCCCAACGUUUUAUAUUGUACAACAUCCAUAUCAUCCAUCCAGGGUGUCCAGUAUCUUUGCAGUUUACAUUUUUACAUAGUGCAUUCUGAUAAGACCAUGUGCUGCAUGAAAUAUAGAAAAUAUAAAAUUACAACAACACACAGGUGUAUGAAGCCUGUCCACCAGUGCUUUAAAAGAGAAAGGGAAAAUAGAGUGAACGUGGUGAUGUAAUUUUUAGAAAGGUAGAAAAUAAAUGCAGUCUGACGAAUGCCUGUGCAGACUUGCAUGACUAAACCAGAUAAGUGAGGUAUCCAGCCAACCGGGCCAACCUGAGCCACUGCUGCUUUGCAUAGAACGUCUCUGUCCAGCUGUCAUUGUACUAGUCUGCUGAAGGAAAUGCUGAUACAGGAUGACAUGUUAAACCGAACCGGAGUAUGGAGUCUGAGUCUCUCGGUCUUUUACUGGUGCGCAACAGCCAUAGCAAACAUGUCAGACCCAAUAAAGAAAUAACCCAGUUAUAUUUUCUUCCG
rnacentral:lncRNA from 1 species